rnacentral:rRNA from 1 species
AACGAACGCUGGCGGCAUGCCUAACACAUGCAAGUCGAACGAGACCUUCAGGUCUUGUGGCUCACGUGUGUGUCACGCGUGGGAACCUUACCUUAGGUUCGGCAUAACUCCACGAAAGGGGUGCUACUACCGGAUCAUGUCUUCGGCCCAAUGAUUUAUCGCCUUUGGUUGGGCGCGCGUUGGAUUAGCUAGUUGGUAGGGUAAAAGCCUACCCAGGCGACGAUCCAUAGCUGGUCUGAGGGGACGAUCAGCCACACUGGGAGUGGGACACGGACCGGACUCCUACGGGAGGCAGCAGGGGGGAAGAAGGGACGAUGGGCGAAAGCAUGAGGCAGCAAUGCCGCGUGAGUGUGGAAGGCGGGAGGGUUGUAAAGCGCUCUUACCGGGGAGGAUAGUGACGGUACCGAGAGAAUAAGCCCCGGCUAACUACGUG